rnacentral:lncRNA from 1 species
GACGGCGAAUUGAAUUUCUUAUUUACAAUUAAUGAAAGAUGCAUACUUUGCUAUGGCAAGUUUAUCUCCCCUUUUCUUCAACCUCAACAAAGAUGUUGGCUUUUUGUCUAGAAGAAAUAUAAAGGUCUCAGUAAUAAAAAUUCUCCCAAAUAAUUGUGGUAUUCUCACUUGUUUCUACCAAGUAAUAACACCCGUGUACAAAUUCUAAUAAGAUAAUUGUGUGUUGCUAUGGAGUAGAAAAUGACUUGAAACUAUGGUAGUUAAACAAACAUUCUCUCAAGACCUCGAUGCCACACUGAGAUAACAUUUCUCUCUACCAGAUGCCUCCCCUCCUCUCAACCUAGCGCAUGACUUUGACUUCCCAACAAACUUGCAUUUGGAAAUGGUGGUGAAGUUGUGACUCCGAGUUACUCAUCUCUGGCCAUGCUAUAUAAUUUGAUCCUUCCUUCAGUGAUUUUUUUCUCAUGAAAAGAAAAGAGAAAUGUCAUGAACAUAGAAUUUCAUUACUUUCUAGUAACUUCAAAUAGACAUAAUUAUCUCCAUGACCAUUUACACUAAGAAUUUUCAGGAGCAGCAAAGGUACACCAUAGCACAAAACUAUUUACAUACAAAUAAUUUCAAGGAGACAUGAUUAUCUACACGAGCGUUUACCCCAAAUGGUAUUGAAGAUUGAUCAAGAUACAUCAUAGCAUAGAUUUGUUUUAGUGCGAUGAUAACAUAUUCACCGUCAUGCCAAAUUUAUCCAUUCAUGUACCAUUGAAAUUUUGGCAGUUCAUACUGUACUUACCAAGAGCAGGUUGACACAAGAAGACAUCCACGGUGCGGAAAACAUCCUGCGGUUUACCUAGCUGACCGUGCCAUUUUUAUUCAUGGCAAAUCUUCAGUAACCUAUUAAAUCAUAUUUACCUAGCUGACUCUUGUAUGCGCAAUUUAUUUUUUUGGCAAAUCAUAUUUAUUAGAAGCUUAUUAAUAAUAUACAUCAGUAAACUAUUCACUAUUUAGCUGACUAAAGGAUAACCUCAGUCCUGUAUACAACAAUCUCAUUCUACACAUCUGUAUGUAUAGUUCAAGUGUUCACAAUAACACUGAAUUUAUAUAUUGCAAAAAAUUCAGCGGUGAUAUGCACAUCUUAGAGAAAAUUUUAAAAUAAUGUCAAGAUAAAUUCUUGACCCAAGUACAUGGGAGUACAGAACUCAGAACAUGUAAGAUUGUAACUUAUCCCAGUCCCAAGUAAGAGGGUCAGGAUACCACAUAUCCGACAAUGCUUUCCUCCAAUGUCUUGAGCUUCCUUGCACAUAGCUCAGACCUGCACAACAAAUAUUUAUAAGAUGGUGAUAAUGCAACCUGGCUACCUGAGACUCAAGUAAUUUUUUGUAUGCACCGAGGAUAAUAAACAAUGAAAAACAUUACACUAAUUGGUUAGGACCAGAAAAGGAAGUCAAGGCCAAGUACACUAUCAUCUCGCAAGUAUUGGCAACAUCUUGCUUGCUCCUGGUCAUUUCACCAAAGGAUAGAAAAAUACUCCCUCCAUCCCAAAAUAAGUGACUCAACUUUGUACUAACUUUGUACUAAAGCUAGUACAAAGUUGAGUCACUUAUUUUGAGACGGAGGGAUUAGUAAUCAAUUUGCAGACUAAUAAUUCUCACACAACAGUAAAGUAAGAUUGGUUCUUUCCAUCUCCAGCUCAGCGACAAGCACUGUAACAAUAAGCAUAUUUAUGCAACGAUAAAAAUCAGCAAGCAAUUGUCGUCUUGCCGCCCUUCUCGUCAGGGUGGGUGAGGGGGCUUGUAAUGUGUCCCAUGGCACGAGCAUCAAGCAUGGCCCCGAGCCAUCAUGUAGACAACCAGCGAAGUUCCCCAUCACUUGGCACCAUAUGAUUUCUAUUACCAUGUGGACAAAUAUUUACCUGAUAAGCACUUAAAGAAAGAAAAAUAGUCUGUCAUUCCUAUGAGCUGAUAAGUAGAUCAUCAUAUCCUUCUUUUCGCACAUGCACACCCUCUUAUUGUAGAGAUGGUGUGGGUAACAAAGAAGUUUUGCCUAUCGGUGCUGUGCAUUGCGAGAAACCUCCAGCAACAGUGAUUCUUGAUGAGAAUCCUUCCCUGGAGUGGCCAUCGAGGAUGAUAAUUCAUAUUGGGGGUAAUAUGAACAGGUUAAGUGAUACUGCUCCUCCUUUUGAGUGGGAUUGCCGAGUUAUGCCAGAAAUGAGUUUUUUUCUGAACUGAGAAGAAGCUUGUUUAGGUCUCCUCUUGAUUCUGCAUCUUCAUGAACAAAACAAAAUUACAAGAAAUCCCCAUGUUACAUGAAAUAAGCCAAAGAAAGAAACUGCAAAAAUCUAGAAAAAAAUAUGUGUAGUGGAGAACCAGAGGAAUCAACCAAGCCAGUUGACUUAUGAAGCUUUGAGAGACUUCAUGGGUGGACCUGGGUAAGCCCUUUGGGAGGGUGUUUGGUGGGGGUGGGCUUUGAUCGAUGGGACUAAUGAAACAAACGAAACAACCUAGGUACUCCCCUUUAUAUUAGAGGUUUUACACACAAAUCAAGCAAUUGAUGUUUCUGCAACUGAAUGUGCCACGACGCUCUCUCUUUCUCCAAGUCCAGUGCCUUUUCGAUUUUUGGAUCCCUUCUUCUCCAAGUCCUGCUCCCUUGUUCCUUGUACUCCUAGCUCAAGCAGUCCAAAAAAAUAUUACUCUAAAUAUAUAUAUAUAUAUAUAUAUAUAUAUAUAUAUUGCUUAUCAUGUAAGUCAAGUAUGUGAUAUCUCCAGAAACAUAAACUGGCUAGUUCAGUUUUUAGAAGUCAUUUAUCACCUGUAUUAUGUUCAAAUUACUUGUGUCCUAGUGUGCCAGUGAAAAAAAUAUGUUAUCGUUGAAGAAAGUGCAAAAAAUGACAUUCAGGCUUACAAACCUACAUUGAGCCAAUCCUCUGCUCAGUCAUCCAUUGCCGAUGAUGGCCAUGAUAGAAUAUGAAUACGUAAUUGUUAUUUGUAUUACACAUCAGUGCAUAGUUAUACAAGUUUAUUAUGCAGCAAACCAUAUGCGAAAAAAUCAGCAACGAGAAACCUAUCUACGAAACACCAUUGGAAUCACUAUCGAUUUCAUAUUCCAUUUUAAUGCCAUUGAUGCUACAUUUUUAUUAAUAUUUCAACAUAUUUAAAGGACCUUUGGUCCUUUAGGACUAACUGUUGCGAGAAUAGAAGAGUUUACAUGACUCGGGAUCAAUUCAGCACUUUCGAGCUUACAGCCUACAAUUACUUUCAGCGAAGCCAAAUAAUGGUUGAUGGAGCACAAUGUCACUUCAAAUUAUGGUCACAGCAGCAUACAAGUUUCUUAGGCCAAGAUUAGUACCACUCUUGAAAUAAAAACAAAUUGUUGGGAUCACAACAAAGUAAAUUAUGAAACAAAAAGAAUCAGUGUCUAGCUUUUAAUCAGUCGACUCCGAAAGCACCUGGUUGAGCUUCCAUAAUACCUGAACGAAUGACCUCUCAGUUCACAAGACAGAGAAACAAUACAUUGACUGGAAUAAAACAACACAAGCAUUAUUUCUUGACAGGACCAAUAUUCUCUACCUCACCUUCACUUUUUUCAAAUUCUUAAUUUAAUUACUUGGUCCAUGAAAAAAGACACAUCUUGGUAAGCCAUUGGAGCUUGGCAACUAAAAGAGGCAUUCAUCAGAACAGACUGUUUCAAACACAAAAUCAGCAUAUCUACAUUGUAGCUAUUUUAUCAUUCCAAGUAACAAAGUAGCUUCCUUGAUAAAUGCAUGAAAACUAAAAAAGGGACUGGUGAUAGUCAUCUUGGUUUAAAUUAAAUUAGAAAUAGCUGCAUGAAAGUAUCUUUUGGUUGGCUCAGACAGGGAAAAUAUUAAUAGUCCAAAAAAUUGUAAGAAAGAUGCAGUUACCUUUAACUGGUCCAACACAACUGACAUAAAGAAGGGCCAUCAUGAUGCAGGCUCGGUAAUCUACUGCCUCAAUCCGUUGUAAGGGUAACUUUAUUUGUAAGAGAUAGUACCAUUAUUAGUUUUAGUGGUCUUAUUAUUAAUUGGCUAGAUAUCUGAAAUGGCAAAUAUUGGCUUCGCUACUCAGCACUCACUCGUUUAUGCAAUUGUGGCUGAAUUUAAUCUGUCAGUGAUUCCAAUUCUUUUACAUAAUGGUUCAGAAAAGCAUCUCCAUUUGUGAUAAUUUGAAAGAAACUUGUUAAAUCUCCCAAAAAAGACCAAAGAACAAUGAAGAAAAAAUGGGCUACAGUCAUUAGAAAGUCACAACAAUAUUGUAAAGAUAGUUGAUCCAGCGGGGCAUCAAGCCUUACCUCUGUUUGGAGCUUGUCAAGCAGGUGGCUUUGUUCCAUGGCAUGGACGAGAUGAUCCUGUACAUCAUAUGCGCCCCUGAUAUUCUGCAGCAUGAGAAAGUGAUCAAGAGGGUGACCCGGUGCAGCGUAUGGUGUUCAUCUUGCAAGGGAAACCGGGGAGCAUGCAACCGCUGACCAAGAGCAUGGUGCCAACGUGCGUGCUGGGUGCCGAGAACUUACUCGGUAACGAGCUGCUGUUGUGGUGCCUGCAUCGGCCGUUCGUGGGACGACUUCGUCCAUGGGGUUCAGCGGCGGCGGCGGCCCCGGGGAUCCGCCACGGCAGCGGUGUGCGGAGUGCGGCGACCCCACACAAGCACGAGCUGCUUGGAGACCUGACCUGCCCUGAGGUUCCGUGAUGGCGCCGUCGUCGGUGGCGGCGGAGGCGGGGAACCCUAGACAAAAGAUUGAGGAAGGUCGGCGGCGGCGAUCCCGUACCUCAUCGGCGACGAGAUAUGACGUGACCCUUACGUCCGCGGCGGCAAUCCCGUACGUCUGCGCCAGCGAGAUCGCACGAGAUCCGGCAGCGUCUUCUCGAGAUCGCAAGAUGGCGGUGCGGUCUCCUCGAGGGGAUCGAUAAGACUUUUUUUUUUGCGGGGUGUUUUUUUUUUGACUCUGUGCGUGGGCUGGGGAGGGGGACGGGACGAAAAAACCUACGAAAAAAACCGGACGAAAAUGGUGGGACGAAAAAUAACCGGCGGAGACUACCAACUGAGCCAUUAAGAUUAGAGAUUAUGUAUUGUUGUAAAACAUUUAUUGAAUAUAAUUAGAACAAUUGAAUGGAAAACAUUUUUCCAUGCAUUGCUAAAUGUUGUGGUGGGUUUUUUUCCACAUAUGAUUGCAUGUUCAUAUGGACCUUAUAAUUGUAUGAUGAGGUGGAAUACUUGCAUGUCGAGAUAAAUACAUUAGUGGUCAUGACUCUCUUAGGUAUACAGGAUUCUGUUGUUUCUUUAGGGCAUCUCCAAGACAGGUAUCCAUUCCGAUCUUGUUCAGACUGUCAAGUCCGGACACUUUUUUACAAUUCAACGGGCUUCCCCAUUUGGGUUCGGACAAUUUGGAAUUCUACAAUCUCAAACCGAGGGGAAGAGCAACGGAGCGUACUGUCCGCCACGUUGAACCGACAGCUCAACCCUCUCUUUUUCUUGGGAUAUCCUUCUCGUGUGGGCUGGGAAGAGAAGGUCAUUUGAAGCCUUUUAGGCAUUCCAAAGGUGUGCAAGAGCCCACUACCUAUUAGGGUUAUGACCUAGAGUCAUUUUGAACUUUACUCAUGCGAGAAAAAGGGGAUGUUAGCCUCUGAUCCAGCAGCCACCAAGUAAAGCGAUGAAUCUGAGUCGAGCCUUCAUUGGAGAGAGAGAUGAAGGAAGAAGUUUGAUAUCGAGUAAAGGGAGCUCCUCCCCAAGGUUGUGAAGUUCAGAUCCAUCACCUUGUCCCCUUCCACCAUCUUUUGUGAGAUUGUUCCAAUCCCUAAUUCUUGCAACCCCAAAAUUUAUUGUUGCUAUCCAAGAUGCAUAAUCUUGAUGUACGAGAUCCUCUAGUGCUAUCUAAAGAAGAGCUUGUUGUAUCCCACAUUUGAUAAUAGUGGAAGAAGAUUAGGGUGGCUUCGACUCGUGGUUUUUCCCCUCAUGUUGAGGAGUUUUCUAUGUAAAAUAUUAUGUCUUUGUGUUGAUGCUUGUUGCUUUACUUUUGGCUUGAGAGCACAUAGGACUUUUCCUACCUGCUUGCUUGCUAAAAUCAAUUAGUACUUGUCCUAACUAGCUGAUGUUGGCAACCCAAGACUUGUCAUGUGUUCAUGCUAAACAUAGUAUCUUCAUAUAUGCUUGAUGCAUAUGUUUUCUUCCGUGCUAAACAGUGAUCCUUGAAUUAGUACAUGAUGUGGUGCUGAGAUUACUUUGUUUCCACUACACUUUUAGACCACAAGUGUGUGCUAAUUCCCAACUAUUUUUAACAGCUCCCCUCACUCUCAGUCUCCACUCCACUCCACACAAAGCCUACCCGCCCAAUGAUGGUAAAAAGAUGAACGCGAGGAGUGUGAGCAUUCCUUGGCAAUAUGGCUGCUCAGCAUCUUUCGGUCUGCUCGGCUGCCUGUUGGGAAACGUAGCAUGCAAUUUCAAAAAAAAAUCCUACGCUCAUGCAAGAUCUAUCUAGGAGAUGCAUAGCAAUGAGAGGGGGAGAGUGUGUCCACGUACCCUCGUAGACCGAAAGCGGAAGCAUUUGACAACGUGGUUGAUGUAGUCGAACUUCUUCUCGUUCCGACUGAUCAAGCACCGAAUGUACGGCACCUCCGAGUUCUGCACACGUUUAGCUCGAUGACGUCCCUCGAACGCUUGAUCUAGCAAAGUGUCGAUGGAGAGUUCCGUCAGCACGACGGCGUGGUGACGGUGAUGGUGAAGUGAUCCGCGCAGGGCUUCGCCUAAGCACUACGUGAAUAUGACCGGAGGCGUAAACUGUGGAGGGGGGGCGCCGCACGCGGCGAGGAAUCAAUGGUGUGUGUUCUAGUGGUGCCCCCCACAUAUAUAUAGGUGUGAGAGGGAGGGAAGCAGCAAGGGGCGCCCCAAGUAGGAGGGAUCCUACUUGGGCGCCUCCUCCAAGUCGGCCUACCCCCCUUCCAUAUGCAUCAGAGGGGGAAGGAAAGAGAGGGGGGAGGGGAAGGAAAGGGGGAGGCCGAAUCCUCCCCUUUCCUUCUCCCUUCCCUCCUUUCCUUCUCCUCCUAUUUCGGCCUAUAGGGGGGUGCACCAGCCCUUUAGGGGCUGGUCUGUCCCUCUCUUGGCCCAUUAGGCCCGUAUAGUUUGCCGAGGGUUGCCCAGAACCCCUUCUGGUGACCCGAUAUGUACCCGGUACCCCUGGAACACUUCCGGUGUCAGAAUACUAUCGUUCUGUAUAUGAAUCUUUACCUCUCGACCAUUUCGAGACUCCUCGUCAUGUCCGUCAUCUGAGACUCCGAACAACAUUCGGUCACCAAAUCACAUAACUCAUAUAAUACAAAAUCGUCAUCGAACGUUAAGCGUGCGGACCCUACGGGUUCGAGAACUAUGUAGACAUGACCGAGACACCUCUCCGGUCAAUAACCAAUAGCGGAACCUGGAUGCUCAUAUUGGUUCCCACAUAUUCUACGGAGAUCUUUAUCGGUCGUACCGUAAUGAUAACAACGUUAUUCCCUUUGUCAUCGGUAUGUUACUUGCCCGAGAUUCGAUCGUCGGUAUCUUCAUACCUAGUUCAAUCUUGUUACCGGCAAGUCUCUUUACUCAUUUCGUAAUGCAUCAUCCCGUAACUAACUCAUUAGUCACAUUGCCUGCAAGGCUUAUCAUGAUGUGCAUUACCGAGAGGGCCCAGAGAUACCUCUCCGAUACUCGGAGUGACAAAUCCUAAUCUUGAUCUAUGCCAACCCAACAAAUACCUUCGGAGAUACCUGUAGAGCAUCUUUAUAAUCACCCAGUUACGUUGUGACGUUUGAUAGCACACAAGGUAUUCCUCUGGUAUCCGGGAGUUGCAUAAUCUCAUAGUCGAAUGAAUAUGUAUUUGACAUGAAGAAAGCAAUAGCAAUAAAACUGACGAUCAACAUGCUAAGCUAACGGAUGGGUCAUGUCCAUCACAUCAUUCUCCUAAUGAUGUGAUCCCGUUCAUCGAAUGACAACACAUGUUUAUGGUUAGGAAACUUAACCAUCUUCGAUUAACGAGCUAGUCUAGUAGAGGCUUACUAGGGACACGGUGUAUUGUCUAUGUAUUCACACAUGUAUCAAGUUUCCGGUUAAUACAAUUCUAGCAUGAAUAAUAAACAUUUAUCAUGAUAUAAGGAAAUAUAAAUAACAACUUUAUUAUUGCCUCUAGGGCAUAUUUCCUUCAGUCUCCCACUUGCACUAGAGUCAAUAAUCUAGAUUACAUUAUCAUGAUUCUAACACCCAUGGAGUCUUGGUGUUGAUCAUGUUUUGCUCGUGGAAGAGGCUUAGUCAACGGGUUUGCCACAUUCAGAUCCGUAUGUAUUUUGAAAAUCUUGAUGUCUGCCUCCUUGACUUGAUCAUGGAUGGAGUUGAAGCGUCUCUUGAUGUGUUUGGUUCUUUUGUGAAAUCUGGAUUCCUUCGCCAAGGCAAUUGCUCCAGUAUUGUCACAAAAGAUUUUCAUUGGACCCGAUGCACUAGGUAUUACACCUAGAUCGGAUAUGAACUCCUUCAUCCAGACUCCUUCAUUCGUUGCUUCCGAAGCAGCUAUGUACUCCGCUUCACACGUAGAUCCCGCCAUGACGCUUUGCUUGGAACUACACCAACUGACAGCUCCACCAUUCAAUAUAAAUACGUAUCCGGUUUGUGACUUAGAGUCAUCCGGAUCAGUGUCAAAACUAGCAUCGACAUAACCAUUUACGACAAGCUCUUUGUCACCUCCAUAAACGAGAAACAUAUCCUUAGUGCUUUUCGGGUACUUCGGGAUAUUCUUGACCGCUGUCCAAUGAUCCACUCCUGGAUUACUUUGGUACCUCCCUGCUAGACUUAUAGCAAGGCACACAUCAGGUCUGGUACACAGCAUAGCAUACAUGAUAGAACCUAUGGCUGAGGCAUAGGGAAUGACUUUCAUUUUCUCUCUAUCUUCUGCAGUGGUCGGGCAUUGAGUCUGACUCAACUUCACACCUUGUAACACAAGCAAGAACCCUUUCUUUGACUGAUCCAUUUUGAACUUAUUCAAAACUUUAUCAAGGUAUGUGCUUUGUGAAAUUCCAAUUAAGCGUCUUGAUCUAUCUCUAUUGAUCUUGAUGCCUAAUAUAUAAGCAGCUUUACCGAGGUCUUUCAUUGAAAAACUCUUAUUCAAGUAUCCUUUUAUGCUAUCCAGAAAUUCUAUAUCAUUUCGAAUCAACAAUAUGUCAUCCACAUAUAAUAUUAGAAAUGCUACAGAGCUCCCACUCACUUUCUUGUAAAUACAGGCUUCUUCGAAAGUCUGUAUAAAACCAUAUGCUUUGAUCCCACUAUCAAAGCGUAUAUUCCAACUCCGAGAUGCUUGCACAAGUCCAUAAAUGGAUCGCUGGAGCUUGCACACUUUGUUAGCACCUUUAGGAUCGAUAAAACCUUCUGGUUGCACUCUUCUUUAAGAAAUCCAUUAUGGAAUGCAGUUUUGAUGUCCAUUUGCCAGAUUUCAUAAUCAUAAAAUGCGGCAAUUGCUAACAUGAUUCGGACAGACUUAAGCAUCGCUACGGGUGAGAAAGUCUCAUCGUAGUCAACUCCUUGAACUUGUCGAAAACCUUUUGCAACAAGUCGAGCUUUGUAGACAGUAACAUUACUAUCAGUGUCAGUCGUCUUCUUGAAGAUCCAUUUAUUCUCUAUGGCUCGCUGAUCAUCGGGCAAGUCAACCAAAGUCCAUACUUUGCUCUCAUACAUGGAUCCUAUCUCAGAUUUCAUGGCCUCAAGCCAUUUUGCGGAAUCUGGGCUCAUCAUUGCUUCCUCAUAGUUCGUAGGUUCGUCAGGGUCUAGUAACAUGACUCCCAGAACAUGAUUACCGUACCACUCUGGUGCGGAACGUGCUCUGGUUGACCUUCGAGGUUCGGUAGUAACUUGAUCCGAAAUUUCAUGAUCAUUAUCCUUAGCUUCCUCUCUAGUUGGUGUAGGCAUCACGGGAACGGUUUUCUGUUAUGAGCUACAUUCCAAUUCGAGAGAAGGUACAAUUACCUCAUCAAGUUCUACUUUCCUCCCACUCACUUCUUUCGAGAGAAACUCCUUCUUUAGAAAGGAUCCAUUCUUAGCAACAAAGAUCUUGCCUUCGGAUCUGUGAUGGAAGGUGUACCCAACAGUUUCUUUUGGGUAUCCUAUGAAGACGCACUUCUCCGAUUUGGGUUCGAGCUUAUCAGGCUGAAGUUUUUUCACAUAAGCAUCGCAACCCCAAACUUUAAGAAAUGAAAGCUUAGGUUUCUUGCCAAACCAUAGUUCAUAUGGUGUCGUCUCAACGGAUUUAGAUGGUGCCCUAUUUAAAGUGAAUGCAGCUGUCUCUAAUGCAUAACCCCAAAACGAUAGUGGUAAAUCGGUAAGAGACAUCAUAGAUCGCACCAUAUCUAAAAAAGUUAGGUUACGACGUUUGGACACUCCAUUACGCUGUGGUGUUUCAGGUGGCGUGAGUUGUGAAACUAUUCCACAUUGUUUUAAAUGAAGGCCAAACUCGUAACUCAAAUAUUUGCCUCCGCGAUUAGAUCGUAGAAACUUUAUUUUCUUGUUAUGAUGAUUCUCCACUUCACUUUGAAAUUCUUUGAACUUUUCAAAUGUUUCAGACUUGUGUUUCAUCAAGUAGAUAUACCCAUAUUUUCUCAAAUCAUCUGUGAAGGUCAGAAAAUAACGAUACCCGCCGCGAGCCUCAACACUCAUCGGACGGCAUACAUCGGUAUGUAUUAUUUCCAAUAAGUUAGUGGCUCGCUCCACUGUUCAGGAGAACGGAGUCUUAGUCAUCUUGCCCAUGAGGCAUGGUUCGCAAGCAUCAAAUGAUUCAUAAUCAAGUGAUUCCAAAAGUCCAUCUGAAUGGAGUUUCUUCAUGCGCUUUACACCAAUAUGACCUAAAUGGCAGUGCCACAAAUAUGUUGCACUAUCAUUAUCAACUUUGCAUCUUUUGGCAUCAAUAUUAUGAAUAUGUGUAUCACCACGACCGAGAUUCAACAAAAAUAGACCACUCUUCAAGGGUGCAUGACCAUAAAAGAUAUUACUCAUAUAAAUAGAACAACCAUUAUUCUCUUAUUUAAAUGAAUAACCAUCUGCAUCAAACAAGAACCAGAUAUAAUGUUCAUGCUCAACGCUGGCACCAAAUAACAAUUAUUGAGGUCUAAAAGUAAUCCUGAAGGUAGAUGUAGAGGUAGCGUGCCGACGACGGUCACAUCGACCUUGGAACCAUUCCCAAUGCGCAUCGUCACCUCGUCCUUAGCCAAUCUUCGUUUAAUUCGUAGCCCCUGUUUCGAGUUACAAAUAUGAGCAACCGAACCGGUAUCAAAUACCCAAGCACUACUACGAGCAUUAGUAAGGUACACAUAAAUAACAUGUAUAUCAAAUAUACCUUUGUUCUCUUUACCAUCCUUCUUAUCCGCCAAAUACUUGGGCAGUUCCACUUCCAGUGACCAAUCCCUUUGUAGUAGAAGCACUCAGUUUCAGGCUUAGGUCCAGACUUGGGCUUCUUCCCGGGAGUGGCAACUUCCUUGCCAUUCUUCUUGAAGUUCCCUUCUUUCCUUUGCCCUUUUUCUUGAAACUAGUGGUCUUGUUAACCAUCAACACUUUGAUGCUCCUUCUUGAUUUCUACCUCCGCAGCUUUGAGCAUAGCGAAGAGCUCGGGAAUUGUCUUAUCCAUCCCUUGCAUAUUAUAGUUCAUCACGAAGCCUCUGUAGCUUGGUGGCAGUGAUUGGAGAACUCUGUCAAUGACACUAUCAUCUGGAAGAUUAACUCCUAGCUGAGUCAAGUGGUUAUGAUACCCAGACAUUCUGAGUAUGUGUUCACUGACAGAACUGUUCUCCUCCAUCUUGCAGCUAUAGAACUUGUUGGAGACUACAUAUCUCUCAACUCGGGCAUUUGCUUGAAAUAUUAGCUUUAACUCUUGGAACAUCUCAUAUGGUCCAUGACGUUCAAAACGUCUUUGAAGUCCCGAUUCUAAGCCGUAAAGCAUGACACACUGAACUAUUGAGUAGUCAUCAACACGCGACUGCCAGGUGUUCACAACUUCUGCAGUUGCUGGAGGGGGUGGUACACCUAGCGGUGCAUCAAGGACAUAAUUCUUCUGUGCAACAAUGAGGAUAAUCCUCAAGUUACGGACCCAGUCCGUGUAGUUGCUACCAUCAUCUUUCAACUUAGCUUUCUCUAGGAACACAUUAAAAUUCAAGGGAACGGUAGCACGGGCCAUUGAUCUACAACAUAGAUAUGCAAAAACUAUCAGGACUAAGUUCAUGAUAAAUUAAGUUUGAUUAAUCGUAUUACUUAAGAACUCCCACUUAGAUAGACAUCCCUCAAGUCAUCUAAAUGAUCACGUGAUCCAUAUCAACUAAACCAUGUCCGAUCAUCACGUGAGAUGGAGUAGUUUUCAAUGGUGAACAUAUCUAUGUUGAUCAUAUCAACUAUAUGAUUCACGUUCGACCUUUCGGUCUCCAGUGUUCCGAGGCCAUGUCUGUACAUGCUAGGCUCGUCAAGUUUAACCUGAGUAUUCCGCAUGUGCAAAACUGUCUUGCACCCGUUGUAUGUGAACGUAGAGCCUAUCACACCCGAUCAUCACGUGGUGUCUCAGCAUGACGAACUUUCGCAAUGGUGCAUACUCAGGGAGAACACUUAUACCUUGAAAUUUUAGUGAGGGAUCAUCUUAUAAUGCUACCGCCGUACUAAGCAAAAUAAGAUGCAUAAAAGAUAAACAUCACAUGCAAUCAAAAUAUGUGACAUGAUAUGGCCAUCAUCAUCUUGUGCCUUUGAUAUCCAUCUCCAAAGGAUUGUCAUGAUCUCCAUCGUCAUCGGCUUGAAACCUUGAUCUCCAUCGUAGCAUCGUGGUUGUCUCGCCAACUAUUGCUUCUACAACUAUCGCUAACGCAUAGUGAUAAAGUAAAGCAAUUACAUGGCGUUUGCAUUUCAUACAAUAAAGCGACAACAAUAAGGCUCCUGCCAGUUGCCGAUAACUUUUAAAAAACAUGAUCAUCUCAUACAAUAACGUAUAUCACAUCAUGUCUUGACCAUAUCACAUCACAACAUGCCCUGCAAAAACAAGUUAGACGUCCUCUACUUUGUUGUUGCGAGUUUUACGUGGCUGCUACGGGCUUCUAGUAAGAACUGUUCUUACCUACGCAUCAAAACCACAACAGUGAUUUAUCAAGUUUGCUGUUUUAACCUUCAACAAGGACCGGCCGCAGUCAAAUUCGAUUCAACUAAAGUUGGAGAAACAGACACCCGCCAGCCACCUUCAUGCAAAACUAGUUGCAUGUCUGUCGGUGGAACCGGUCUCAUGAACGUGGUCAUGUAAGGUUGGUCCGGGCUGCUUCAUCCAACAAUACCGCCGAAUCAAAAUAAGAGAUUGGUGGUAAGCAGUAUGAUGAUCACCGCCCACAACUCUUUGUGUUCUACUCGUGCAUAUCAUCUACGCAUAGACCUGGCUCGGAUGACACUAUUGGGAAACGUAGCAUGCAAUUUCAAAACAAAUCCGACGCUCACGCAAUAUCUAUCUAGGAGAUGCAUAACAACGAGAGGGGAGAGUGUGUCCAUGUACCCUCGUAGACCGAAAACGGAAGCGUUUGACAACGAGGUUGAUGUAGUUGAACUUCUUCUCGUUCCGACCGAUCAAGCACCGAACGUACGGCACCUCCGAGUUCUGCACACGUUCAGCUUGAUGACGUCCCUCGAACUCUUGAUCCAGCAAAGUGUCGAGGGAGAGUUCCGUCAGCACGAUGGCGUGGUGACGGUGAUGGUGAAGUGAUCCGCGCAGGGCUUCGCCUAAGCACUACGUGAAUAUGACCGGAGGCGUAAACUGUGGAGGGGGGCGCCGCACACGGCUAGGAAUCAAUGUUGUGUGUUCUAGCGGUGCCCCCCACAUAUAUAUAGGUGGGAGAGGGAGGGAAGCAGCAAGGGGCGCCCCAAGUAGGAGGGAUCCUACUUGGGCGCCCCCUCCAAGUCGGCCUCCCCCUUCCAUAUGCAUCGGAGGGGGAAGGAAAGAGAGGGGGGAGGGGAAGGAAAGCGGGAGGCCGAAUCCUCCCCUUUCCUUCUCCCUUCCCUCCUUUCCUUCUCCUCCAAUUUCGGCCUAUAGGGGGCGCACCAGCCCCUUAGGGGCUGGUAUGUCCCUCUCUUGGCCCAUUAGGCCCAUUUAGUUUGCCGGGGGUUGCCCGGAACCCCUUCCGGUGACCCGAUACGUACCCAGUACCCCCGGAACACUUCCUGUGUCCGAAUACUAUCGUCCUAUAUAUGAAUCUCUACCUCUCGACCAUUUCGAAACUCCUCGUCAUGUCCGUCAUCCAAGACUCCGAACAACAUUCGGUGACCAAAUCACAUAACUCAUAUAAUACAAAAUCGUCAUCGAACGUUAAGCGUGCGGACCCUAGGGGUUCAAGAACUAUGUAGACAGACCGAGACACCUCUCCGGUCAAUAACCAACAGCGGAACCUGGAUGCUCAUAUUGGUUCCCACAUAUUCUAUGAAGAUCUUUAUCAGUCGUACCGUAGUGACAACAACAUUAUUCCCUUUGUCAUCGGUAUGUUACUUGCUACCUCUUGAGCACUGCGUUGGUUUUCCCUUGAAGAGGAAAGGGUGAUGCAGUAAAGUAGCGUAAGUAUUUCCCUCAGUUUUUGAGAACCAAGGUAUCAAUCCAGUAGGAGGCCACGCUCGAGUCCCACGCACCUACACAAACAAAUAAGAACCUCGCAACCAACGCGAUAAAGGGGUUGUCAAUCCCUUCACGGUCACUUACGAGAGUGAGAUCUGAUAGAUAUGAUAAGAUAAUAUUUUUUGUAUUUUUAUGAUAAAUAGAAAUAAAGAUGCAAAGUAAAAAUAAACGGCAAUAAAAAUAGCUAAGUGUUGGAACAUUAAUAUAAUGGAGAAUAGACCUGGGGGCCAUAGGUUUCACUAGUGGCUUCUCUCAAGAGCAUAAGUAUUACGGUGGGUGAACAAAUUACUGUCGAGCAAUUGAUAGAAUUGAGAAUAGUUAUGAGAAUAUCUAGGUAUGAUCAUCUAUAUAGGCAUCACGUCCGUGACAAGUAGACCGAAACGAUUCUGCAUCUACUACUAUUACUCCACACAUCGACCGCUAUCCAGCAUGCAUCUAGAGUAUUAAGUUCAAAAGAACAGAGUAAUGCUUUAAGCAAGAUGACAUGAUGUAGAGGGAUAAACUCAUGCAAUAUGAUAUAAACCCCAUCUUUUUAUCCUCGAUGGCAACAAUACAAUACGUGCCUUGCUGCCCCUGCUGUCACUGGGAAAGGACACCGCAAGAUUGAACCCAAAGCUAAGCACUUCUCCCAUUGCAAGAAAGAUCAAUCUAGUAGGCCAAACCAAACUGAUAAUUAGAAGAGACUUGCAAAGAUAACCAAUCAUACAUAAAAGAAUUCGAGGAGAUUCAAAUAUUGUUCAUAGAUAAACUUGAUCAUAAACCCACAAUUCAUCGGUCUCGACAAACACACCGCAAAAUAAGAAUUACAUCAAAUAGAUCUCCAAGGGAAUCGAGGAGAACAUUGUAUUGAGAUCCAAAGAGAGAGAAGAAGCCAUCUAGCUAACAACUAUGGACCCGAAGGUCUGAGGUAAACUACUCACACAUCAUUGGAGAGGCUAUGGUGUUGAUGUAGAAGCCCUCCGUGAUCAAUGCCCCCUCCGGCAGGACGCCGGAAAAGGCCCCAAGAUGGGAUCUCACGGGUACAGAAGGUUGCGGCGGUGGAAUUAGGGUUUUGGCUCCGUAUAUGAUGUUUCCAGGGUGUGUGGGUAUAUAUAGGAGGAAGAAGUACAUCGGUGGAGCAAUGUGGGCCCCACGAGGGUGGAGGGCGCGCCUGGGGGAGGUGGGCGUGCCCCCCUACCUCGUGCUCUCCUCGUUGAUUGCUUUACAUAGACUCCAAGUCCUCUGGAUCACGUUUUUCCCAAAAAUCACGUUCCCGAAGGUUUCAUUCCGUUUGGACUCCGUUUGAUAUCCUUUUCCUUCGAAACACUGAAAUAGGCAAAAAAACAACAAUUUGGACUGGGCCUCCGGUUAAUAGGUUAGUCCCAAAAAUAAUAUAAAAGUGUAUAAUAAAGCCCAUUAAUCAUCCAAAACAGAAUAUAAUAUAACAUGGAACAAUAAAAAAUUAUAGAUACGUUGGAGACGUAUCAUUACUUGCCCGAGAUUCGAUCGUCGGUAUCUUCAUACCUAGUUCAAUCUCGUUACCGGCAAGUCUCUUUACUCGUUCCGUAAUGCAUCAUCCCAUAACUAACUCAUUAGUCAUAGUUCUUGCAAGGCUUAUCAUGAUGUGCAUUACCGAGAGGGCCCAGAGAUACCUCUCCGAUACUCGGAGUGACAAAUCCUAAUCUCGAUCUAUGCCAACCCAACAAAUACCUUCAGAGGUACCUGUAGAGCAUCUUUAUAAUCACCCAUUUACAUUGUGACGUUUGAUAGCACACAAGGUAUUCCUCCGGUAUCCGGGAGUUGCAUAAUCUCAUAGUCGAAGGAAUAUGUAUUUGACAUGAAGAAAGCAAUAACAAUAAAACUAAACGAUCAACAUGCUAAGCUAAUGGAUGGGUCUUGUCCAUCACAUCAUUCUCCUAAUGAUUUGAUCCCAUUCAUCAAAUGACAACACAUGUCUAUGGUUAGGAAACUUAACCAUCUUUGAUUAACGAGCUAGUCUAGUAGAGGCUUACUAGGGACACGGUGUUUUGUCUAUCUAUUCACAGAUGUAUCAAGUUUCCGGUUAAUACAAUUCUAGCAUGAAUAAUAAACAUUUAUCAUGAUAUAAGGAAAUAUAAAUAACAACUUUAUUAUUGCCUCUAGGGCAUAUUUCCUUCACUGCCGCCAAAUGCCAUGGUCAAGAAAAUGACCGCUGAGGAAAGCGAACAUUGUCGAGCAAUGUUGUUGCUCGACUGCUUCUAGUAUGCUCACCUGCUGCCCCUACGGGGUGAUGGAUCUUGCGGGAGUUCGGGCUCCCAUCCACUCACGCCAUGGGCGACCCUGUCCGCACAACCUCUUCGCUACAUGUCGCUUGGGACAUUGUCCUCCACCACAAUGGCGUCUUCCUUCUUCAAGCAGGAGCCAGACUCCGACCAUGACAACGUCGAUUUGUCUCCGCCGUCAGAGUCAGAGUUUGAGCAGUAGCUCCGAAGGCUUUCCAGAACCAACUCAUCAAAAUGGCCCCUAACGGUGACCUGGACUAAGGGGUACUAACCUAUACGACCCACAUUCCAUGGGCCGACCUCACGGCCUACCAAUCAUUAGAAGUAAGGGCUCUGGAAGCUCUGAACCUCAGCGUGAUCAAGAUGGACACCUCCGAAGACUUGACACUCCUAGGAUAGCUCAAUAACCGUCCUAAUGGCAACCGACCAUAUGUGUAACCUAGGUAUCCCCGGUGCAUAUAUGAUCCAUGGGGUUUAGUCUUUAGAGACGCGAUUACCAGCCUUAGGGUUUAGAACAUGAUACGACUCCAAGUAUCUAUUAUUUUUGAUUGUUCCAUGCUAUUAUAUUAUCUGUUUUGGAUGUUUUAUAUGCAUUAAUAUGCUAUUUUAUAUUAUUCUUGGGACUAACCUAUUAACCUAGAGCCCAGUGCCAGUUCCUGUUUUUCCCUGUUUUUGAGUUUCGCAGAAAAGGAAUACCAAACGGAAUAAAACCUUCGCAAUGAUUUUUCUUGGACCAGAAGACAACCAGGAGACUUGGAGAUGAAGUCGGAGGAGCCACGAGGCGGCCACACGGACGGAGGGCGCGCCCCCACCCUUGUGGGCCCCUCGUGCACCUCCUGACCUAAUUCUUGCGCCUAUAUAUUCCCAUAUAUCCCCAAACCAACAGAGGCAUCCACGAAAACACUUUUCCACCGCCGCAACCUUCUGUACCCAUGAGAUCCCAUCUAGGGGCCUUUUCCGGCAUCCUGCCGGAGGGGGAUUCGAUCACGGAGGGCUUCUACAUCAACUCUAUUGCCCUUCCGAUGAAGCGUGAGUAGUUUACCACAGACCUACGGGUCCAUAGCUAGUAGCUAGAUGGCUUCUUCUCUCUCUUUGAUUCUCAAUACCAUGUUCUCCUCGAUGUUCUUGGAGAUCUAUUCGAUGUAAUACUUUUUUGCGGUGUGUUUGCCGAGAUCCAAUGAAUUGUGGAUUUAUCAUCAGCUUAUCUAUGAAUAUUAUUUGAAUCUCCUCUAAAGUAUUUUAUGCAUUAUUUGAUAUCUUUGUAAUUCUCUUAGAACUAUCGGUUUGGUUUGGCCAACUAGAUUGGUUUUUCUUGCAAUAGGAGAAGUGCUUAGCUUUGGGUUCAAUCUUGCGGUGUCCUUUCCCAGUGACAGUAGGGGCAGCAAGGCACGUAUUGUAUUGUUGCCAUCGAGGAUAAAGAGAUGGGGUUUUCAUCAUAUUGCUUGAGUUAAUUCCUCUACAUCAUGUCAUCUUGCUUAAUGCGUUACUCCGUUCUUUAUGAACUUAAUACUCUAGAUGCAUGCUGGAUAGCUGUUGAUGACCCACAAGUAUAGGGGAUCAAUUGUAGCUCUUUUUGAUAAGUAAGAGUGUCUAACCCAAUGAGGAGCAGAAGGAAAUGACAAGUAGUUUUCAGUAAGGUAAUGUCUGCAAGUGCUGAAAUUGUAAGUAGCGGAGUAGUUUGAUAGUGAUACGUCUCCAACGUAUCUAUAAUUUUUUAUUGUUCCAUGCUAUUAUAUAUUCUAUUUUGGAUGUUUAGUGGGCUUUAUUAUACACUUUUAUAUUAUUUUUGGGACUAACCUAUUAACCGGAGGCCCAGCCCGAAUUGCUGUUUUUUUGCCUAUUUGAGUGUUUCGAAGGAAAGGAAUAUCAAACGGAGUCCAAACGGAAUAAAACCUUCGGGAACGUGAUUUUCGGAACAAACGUGAUCUAGAGGACUUGGAGUGGACGUCAAGAAACGAACGAGGAGGCCACGAGGCAGGGGGGCGUGCCUACCCCCCUGGGCGCGCCCUCCACCCUCGUGGGCCCCUCGUAGCUCUCCUGACCGACCUCCUUCGCCUAUAUAUACUCAUAUACCCUGGAAACAUCAGAUACAGAGCCAAAACCCUAUUUCCACCGCCGCAACCUUCUGUACCCGUGAGAUCCCAUCUUGGGGCCUUUCACGGAGAGCUUCUACAUCAACACCAUAGCCUCUCCGAUGAUGUGUGAGUAGUUUACCUCAGACCUUCGGGUCCAUAGUUAUUAGCUAGAUGGCUUCUUCUCUCUCUUUGGAUCUCAAUACAAAGUUCUCCUCGAUUCUCUUGGAGAUCUAUUUGAUGUAACUCUUCUUUUUGCGGUGUGUUUGUCGAGAUCCGAUGAAUUGUGGGUUUAUGAUCAAGAUUAUCUAUGAACAAUAUUUGAAUCUCCUCUGAAUUCUUUUAUGUAUGAUUGGUUAUCUUUGCAAGUCUCUUCGAAUUAUCAGUUUGGUUUGGCCUACUAGAUUGAUCUUUCUUGCAAUGGGAGAAGUGCUUAGCUUUGGGUUCAAUCUUGCGGUGCUCGAUACCAGUGACAGUAGGGGAAACGACACGUAUUGUAUUGUUGCCAUCGAGGAUAAAAAUAUGGGUUUUAUAUCAUAUUGCAUGAGUUUAUCCCUCUACAUCAUGUCAUCUUGCUUGAAGCGUUACUCUGUUCUAAUGAACUUAAUGCUCUAGAUGCAUGCUGGAUAGCGGUCGAUGUGUGGAGUAAUAGUAGUAGAUGCAGGCAGGAGUCGGUCUACUUGUCACGGACGUGAUGCCUAUAUACAUGAUCAUACCUAGAUAUUCUCAUAACUAUGCUCAAUUCUAUCAAUUGCUCGACAGUAAUUUGUUCACCCACCGUAAUACUUAUGCUAUCUUGAGAGAAGCCACUAGUGAAACCUAUGGCCCCCGUGUCUAUUUUCCAUCAUAUUAAUCUCCCGUCAACAAACUAUUUCUAUUACCAUUUACCUUGCAAUCUUUACUUUUACUCUUUACCAUAAAAAUACCAAAAAUAUUAUCUUAUCAUCUCUAUCAGAUCUCACUCUCGUAAGUGACCGUGAAGGGAUUGACAACCCCUUUAUCGCGUUGGUUGCGAGGUUCUUAUUUGUUUGUGUAGGUGCGUGGGACUCGAGCGUGGUCUCCUACUGGAUUGAUACCUUGGUUCUCAAAAACUGAGGGAAAUACUUACGCUACUUUACUGCAUCACCCUUUCCUCUUCAAGGGAAAACCAACGCAGUGCUCAAGAGGUAGCAGAUAGCAAGAUAAUUUGUAACGAGCAAGUAACGAUAGUAGUAACAAAAGUGCAGCAAGGUAGCCCAAUCCUUUUGAGGCAAAGGACAGGCCAAAACGGUCUCUUAUGAUAAGCAAAGCGUUCUUGAGGGUACACGGGAAUUUCAUCUAGUCACUUUCAUCAUGUUGGUUCGAUUUGUGUUCGCUACUUUGAUAAUUUGAUAUGUGGGUAGGUGCUAUUCUUACUUAAACAAACCUCCUACUUAUGAUUAACCCUCCCGCAGGCAUCCGCAACUACGAGAAAAGUAUUAAGAAUAAAUUCUAACCAUAGCAUUAAACUUUUGGAUCCAAUUGGUCCCUUACGGAAUAGCACAUAAACUGGGGUUUAAGCUUCUGUCACUCUCGCAACCCAUCAUCUAAUAGCUACUCCACAAUGCAUUCCCUUAGGCCCAAAUAUGGUGAAGUGUCAUGUAGUCAACGUUCACAUGACACCACUAAGGGGAUAACAACAUACAUACUAUCAAAAUAUCGAACACAUAUCAAAUUCACAUGAUUACUUGCAACAUGAUUUCUCCCGUGACCUCAAGAACAAAAGUAACUACUCACAAAUGAUAAUCAUGCUCAAGAUCAGAGGGUUAUUAAAUAGCAUAAUGGAUCUGAACAUAUAAUCUUCCACCAAAUAAACAAUAUAGUAAUCAACUACAAGAUGUAAUCAACACUACUAGUCGCCCACAAGCACCAAUCUACAGUUCCGGUAACAAGAUUGAACAGAAGAGAUGAACUAGGGUUUGAGAUGAGAUGGUGCUGUUGAAUAUGUUGAUGGAGAUUGCCCUCUCCAAGAUGGGAGAGUUGUUGGUGAUGAUGAUGACGAUGAUUUCCCCCUCCGGGAUGGAAGUUCCCCCGGCGGAAUCGCUCCGCCGGAGGGCAAAAGUGCUCCUGUCCAAGUUCCGCCUCGAGACGGCGACACUCCAUCCCGAAAGUCCUCUCCUUAUUUUUUGUAGGUCAAAAUUACUUAUAUACGAGAAGAUGGGCACCGGAGGUGGGCCUGGGUGAGCACAACCCACCAGGGCGCGCCUGGGCUCCCUGGCGUGCCCAAGUGGGUUGUGCCCACCUGGUGGGCCCCCUAUGGUAGUUAUUUGCUCCAAUAAUUCUUAAAUAAUCCAUAAAAAAUCUUCGUGAAGUUUUAGCUUGUUUGGAGUUGUGCAGAAUAGGUGGCCUGACGUAGCUUUUCCAUGUCCAGAUUUCCAGCUGCCGGAAUUCUCCCUCUUGGUGUGUACCUUGCAAAUUAUGAGAGAAAAGGCAUUAGAAUUACUCCAAAAAGCAGUAUUAUGGAUAAAAACAUUAUAAAUAACAGUAAGAAAACAUGAUGCAAAAUGGACGUAUCAACUCCCCCAAGCUUAGACCUCGCUUGUCUCAAGCGAAAACCAAAAUCGAAAAACAUGUCCUCAUGCUUUGAGAGAGAGGUGUCGAUAAAAACAAAAUACGGACAUAGAAGCAUUAUGUUGAUUAUUAUAACAACAACAAAUUGAAACAUAAGACUUUUAUCAUAUACUUCUCAUGAAUAAGUAACAGUUCAUCACACAAUCGAAGUAUAAAGCAAAAACUCUAUUAGAAACCAACAAACUAUGUUCUCAGUCAACUUUGCAACUACAAUUCAUCAUCUUUUCAGGAAGGGUCACGUGUCGGAGCCUUUAAGCAAGUCCACAUACUCAACCAUCAUAUAGUCUUCUAUGAUUGCUAACACUCACCGCGUACACAUGAGCAAAACGUUUCAACCAGACACAUAGAAAGAUAGGGGCUUAUAGUUUCGCCUCCCAACAUAUUCACCUCAAGGGUGAUGUCAACAGUAAUAACUCAUGCUAUCUAUAUUCAACUGGACAUAUGUGCUGUAAGUGCAUCUAGUGCCCCUUAGUGAUUUUGGUGUAUUGAAGACUUAUAGGUUAAGGGACUAAUGUGUUUAUGAGUGUACACAUGUCUAUAAGUCUAUGAGGAGUUUGAUAUUUACAAAGAAAGUCGACCCCUAAAAAUGAAGUUCUUCGACUGGAGACUUUGGAUUUCUGAAGACUUUGAAAGUGAAGAAAUUGGUGUGACCUUGAAGACUUGGUAUUCAUUCGAGGAACAUGAAGCGUGAAGACUUUGGUUUUCGUAGUUUCAUUCUCUCUUUCUUGAGUCAUAGGAAACACCGUACUGUUAAAGGGGGUCGAGGAAAUACUAAGGAAAAAUUUCCAUGUGAUGCUCAACUCAAAAUCCUACACCUACCAAUCCCUUCGAGUGAAGCCACUGGAAAUCUCAUACAGUUCAGUCAUAUUCUUCAGUGACAGAGACGAAGUUCUUCUGGUCUCUGAGGAAUUUGUUCUGACCGAGCAGUGAGGAAUUCGCUAGUGCGGAUUGCCUACACAGUGAGGAACAUGAUAGCCCUGAGGAAUUCGAGCCUCAAAUAUCCGACCGUUGCUGUGCUAUGCGCCAGCUGUCCCAACAUAUCUACCCACCUAACGGUCAUAUUAGUGAAGGGCAUUUAUGUCUUAUCAUGUCGGGCUGCUCCCUAGGCUAUAAAUAGCCGACCCCUACAACCACUAUCUGGUUGGCUGCUCCGAGAGAAACUGACACUUGUCAUUUGAGAGCAUCCCAUCCUCCGAGGACUUUGAGCGAAAAUCAUCAAGUGAGGAAAACCCAAACACCUACAAACCCAAAGUGAUUGAGCAUCACUGAAGAGAUUGAUCCUGCAUGGAUCCGACGCUUGUUACAUUUGAAGACUGUGCUUCUUCCAGACGGUUAGGCGUCAUGGUCUAGAGCAUCCAAGAGGAAUUGUGGAUUGCCGAGUGACCGAGUUUGUGAAGGUUUGGAAGUCACAUGAAGACUUACCACGAGUGAUUGGGCGAGGUCUGUGUGACCUUAGCUCAAGGAGAAUACGGUGAGGACUGUGUGUCCGGGAUUGUGUGUCCUCAGGUUUAAAUACCUAGCCGCUCCAACCAGACGUACAAUUGAGACAGCAGUUGGAACUGGUCUACCAAAUCAUUGUCUUCACCAAGCUUACUGGUUCUAUUUCCUCAAAUCUUUCAUUUCCUCAUAACUGUGUUGUGCACUUGUGCAUAUCUGUGUUUGAAGACUUUGACUGAUGACUUUCUAAAUUUCCUCAGUUCAAUUUCUUCAGUCUGUUUGUCUUCAUCCUGUGCUAUCCUGUGUUUUACGCUUUCUGUACUUUGUGCUCAUCUUCAUUUCAUCAUGAUGACCAUGCUUGUAUUCUGCUAUGUUUACUUUUGAGUACUUAUUCCGCUGCAAGUAGUUCUUCGCUAAGGAAUUUCCUCACCCGCAAAUUCCUCAGUGAAGAAUUCAUAAAAAUCGCCUAUUCACCCCCCUCUAGUCGAUAUAACGCACUUUCAAUUGGUAUCAGAGCAAGGUACUCCCUUGUUCUGUGUGAUUUUGGCUUAACCGCCUGGAGUUUUAGUUAUGUCGACCACAGGAAUGAAGACUGUGUCAUGCCCCAUCUUUGACGGUCACGAGUAUCCCAAGUGGAAGGCCAUGAUGAAGAAGCGCCUCAUGGCGAUGAAAAGUGAGCUGUGGACCGUCACUGAGAUUGGUCUGACCGAUCUGUGCAAGAUGGCGGAAGCUGAUGACAUUCGCAAGUACACUCUUCUCAACCUCACGACAAAGGACGUCAUCUGCUCCUGUCUGUCUCAAAAUCAGUUCAGGAACAUCAUGCAUCUCGAUCAUGCGAAGCUUAUCUGGGACCGUCUCUCCGAGGUCUAUGAAGGUCAUCGAACCCGUCAUGAUCCUUGGUUUGAGGACUUCAAGGAAUCUCUCAAAGCGAUGACAUUCGAACCAGAAUCAUCAUCUUCUACACCAUGCCUUAUGGCAAAAGAUGCAAAAGGUAACUGAAUGCUAUCUAUCUGAAUCCAGUGAUGAUGAAUCUGGUGAUGAGUUUGGACCCAGCUAUGUCAAACUUGCUGCCCUUGCCAGUAAACAACAAAGAGCUUUGGAAAAAUUUCAAUACAUGCUAAAUAAGAGUGAUGAUAUGUUGGGUGAAGAAAUGGAUCAGUCGAAAGCUUUGGCCGAGAGUCUUCAGAGACUUCAGUCUAAGUUUGACACCCUUCAAGGUCAUCAUAACACUCUCUUAUCUGACCAUGCCAAGCUUUCUUAUGAGUUUCUUCAAAGAAAACAAGAUCUUGAAAAGCUAAGAGUGAGUUAUGAAGAUCUUCAGAAAGAGCGCGAUUCAUUACUUGCUCAACAAAUCAGCGCUAAUCAGGAAGAAUUUGUUCCUCCAUGUUUGAAGUGCAUUGAACGUGAAUCUGCUAAUUCUUCACCUGAAUGUUCAAGUGCUUCUAAUGCUACAAACUCUUCACCUGUCUCUGCUAUCACUAAUUCCUCAUCUGAGGACCUUGCUAGUAUCACUGAUGAUGCAGGGCUGAAGGAAUUGUACAUGACAAGCAUGUACAAAAGCCUCAAAGGGCAUCAGACUCUUUGUGAUGUGCUUAAAAAGCAGAUCCUCAACAAGAACCCUAGGAAAGAGGGUAUUGCCUUUGAGAGGAAACUCAAUGCUGAUGGAACUUAUUGGAAGCCUGAGCAGUACCCCAAAACCUCAUGGGUUGCUGCAAAGGGACCUCCAGUUGAUCCAUCUAAUUUAUCUGGCUUUACAUGUGAUUCUCCUCAUUCUGCUGAUGAGUCAUUUGACUCCAACUAUAAACUGUUCAAAAAUCAGAAUGGUGAAGUAUUUGCUAGAUAUGUUGGCACUAACUGCAGGAACGGUUCCCCUAUGAAGAAAAUCUGGAUUCCCAAACAGUGCCUUGAAAGUCUUCAGGCGAAUGUCCUCAUGACACCACCUGUGAAGAAUAGGAACCCGAGAUCAAAUUCUUCAUAUGGAUCAAAUUCCUCAAAAGGAUCCAAGUCCUCAUAUGAACAUCAUCGUGCUAACCCCUCUGUUUCGCAGGGAAGAGCUAAGGGCUAUGAAUAUGUGCAUUAUUCAAACCAUUAUGUUCAUAAGUCCUCGAAGAAUUUCUCUGCUUAUUCAUAUGCUUAUCCUAACUCCUCUUAUGUGAAACAAAAUGGACUGGCUUCUAUGCCACAUUUCUCGUAUGGAGCUCGCAGAGUGAUGAACUCUUUGCCACCCCGUCAGAUGUGGGUGGUGAAGAAAAAGAUCUAAUCUCUUCUACAGGGUCAGGUCUCCAGACGUGUGUAAACGUCUAAAGAAUUUGCUGGAGACCUGAAAUUGCCUGAAAGGACGCAGGCUAAUCAUGAAGAAAUGAACCCUCAUUUCUCACUUCCUCACACCGCUUUAUCUGUUCUAUUGCUUGAUGAAAUUGAUCUGAUGAAUUGAUGUUAUAUUAUUCACUGAUGAAGUAUAUGAGUUCGUAAGCUGCACUAAUUCAUCUGCAGGAUGAUCAACCCAAAGCCCAUGAGUGGGUCCUCGAUAGUGGAUGUACAAAUCACAUGACUGGUGACAAGAAUCUAUUGAUGGAUGCUCCCUUAUCUCCAUUGCAUCUGAAGCAUAUCAUCUUCGCUGACAAAGGCAAAAGUCAGGUAUUGGGUCUAGGUAAGGUUGCUAUCUCAAAGGAUCGACACAUGGACAAAGUCAUGCUUGUCGAGUCCUUAGGAUACAACCUCAUGUCUGUCUCAAUGCUUUGCGAUCUUGAUAUGGUUGUUGUCUUUGGCAAGUAUCGUUGUGUUGUGAUCAUGGAAGCUGACAAUUCCAAAGUCUUCGAAGGCUUUAGGAGAGGAGACUUGUAUAUUGUUGAUUUCUCUACAGGACCACAACCAGCCGUGUGCCUACUUGCAAAAGCUUCAGAAGGCUGGCUAUGGCAUCGACGACUUGGUCAUGCAGGCAUGAGGAAUUUGCACACGCUUGCGAAGAAGAAGCAUGUCAUUGGCAUUGAGAAUGUCAAAUUCCUAAAGGAUCACUUAUGCGGAGCCUGUGAAGCUGGAAAGAUGACCAAGGCCAAACAUCCAGCGAAGACAAUCAUGACUACCACUCGACCAUUGGAAUUGCUUCAUAUGGAUCUCUUCGGUCCUAACCAUUAUUCUGCAGUUACAAAUGAUGCAUCUCUAUAUGGCUUUGUUAUUGUUGAUGAUUACUCUCGUUACACAUGGGUACAUAUUGUCACUUACAAACACGAAGUGCAGGAAGUCUUCAAACGAUUUUCCUCGAGGGCUUCAACCAACUUUGGUGUGAAGAUCAAGCACAUCAGAAGUGACAAUGGAACUGAGUUCAAGAAUUCUGGUCUUGAUGACUAUCUUUAUGAACUUGGUAUUACUCAUGAGUUAUCUGCUCCUUAUACUCCUCAACAGAAUGGCGUUGUGGAGCGCAAGAACAGGACUCUCGUUGAGAUGGCUCGCACUAUGCUUGAUGAAUACAAGACGCCUCGUCACUUCUGGAUUGAGGCAAUUUAUACUGCGUGCCACAUCAUCAACAGAGUAUAUCUUCAAAAAUUCUUCAAGAAGACUGCAUAUGAACUCCUCACUGACAAGAAACCCAAUGUGAGUUAUUUUAAAGUCUUCGGUGCUAAAUGUUGGAUUAGAGAUCCUCAUCACAACUCAAAAUUUGCACCGAAAGCACAUGAAGGUUUUAUGCUUGGUUACGAAAAGGACUCACACACCUACAGAGUCUUCAACAACAUUCUUCACAAGGUUGUUGAAACUGUAGAUGUGCGGUUUGAUGAAACUAAUGGCUCGCAAAGAGAGCACCUACCUUCUGUGAUAGAUGAACCAGCACCUGAGGAAACUAUCGAGUUCAAGGCUACUGAGGAUGUCAUUCCUACCGAAGAAUAUGCUGAAGAAUUCAUUCCAGAACGAGAAGAACGUCGAGCUAAUGCACCUGAAAAUGCUGAAGAAAAUGGUGCUGAAGAAAAUGCUGAUCAAAUUCCUCGACGACAACCCGCUCAUCCUCGCGUGGCAAAAGAAGUGCAGAUUGAGAAAAUCAUCGAUGACAUUGAAGCACCAGGUCCUCUCACAUGCUCAAGAGCUUCACAUUUAUCUAACUUUUGUGGGCACUUUGCUUUUGUCUCUAUCACAGAGCCCGCUAAGGUAGAUGAAGCAUUUCUGGAGCCUGAGUGGAUUCAAGCUAUGCAAGAAGAAUUACAUCAGUUCGAGCUCAACCACGUUUGGGAACUGGUCAAACGUCUAGAUCCUCACAAGCACAAUAUCAUUGGCACAAAGUGGAUCUACCACAACAAGCAAGAUGAAAAUGGCCUUGUGGUGAGGAAUAAGGCACGGCUUGUAGCUCAAGGCUACACACAGGUUGAAGGAAUUGACUUCGAUGAAACUUUUGCACCUGUUGCUAGACUUGAGGCUAUUCGAAUAUUACUUGCUUAUGCUAACCAUCAUGAUAUCACUCUAUAUCAAAUGGAUGUGAAAAGUGCAUUCCUCAAUGGUAAGCUUGAGGAAGAAGUAUAUGUUGCUCAACCCCCAGGUUUUGAAGAUCCAAAGCAUCCUGACGAAGUCUUCGGACUUAAUAAGGCCCUCUAUGGCCUCAAGCAGGCCCCUCGGGAGUGGUAUGAUACUUUGAAGGAAUUCCUCAUGAAGAAAGGCUUCAAACCCGGUUCACUCGACCCUACUCUUUUCACUAAAUCUUAUGAUGGUGAACUGUUUGUGUGGCAAAUAUAUGUUGAUGAUAUUAUCUUUGGCUGUACUGACCAACGUUACAGUGAUGAAUUUGCCUAUAUGAUGAGUGAAGAAUAUCAAAUGUCUAUGAUGGGAGAAUUGAAAUUUUUUUAGGUCUUCAAAUUCGUCAACAGCGCAAUGGCAUAUUCAUAUCUCAGGAGAAAUACCUCAAGGAUGUAUUGAGGAAAUUCGGCAUGCAAGAUUGCAAAGGCGUCAAAAUCCCUAUGCCCACAAAUGGCCAUCUAUGCACUGAUGAAAAUGGUAUUGACUUCGAUCAAAAGGUAUAUCGCUCCAUGAUUGGUUCCUUAUUGUACCUAUGUGCAUCUAGGCCAGAUAUUAUGCUUAGUGUUUGCAUGUGUGCCCGAUUUCAAGCUACACCAAAGGAAUCACACCAUAAGGCUGUGAAGCAUAUUCUUCGAUAUCUAGCUCACACACCAACACUUGGAUUAUGGUACCCCAAGGGCUCGGCUUUUGAUCUCAUUGGAUAUUCUGACUCUGACUAUGCCGGUGAUCGUGUGGACCGCAAGUCAACAUCUGGCACAUGCCAUUUCCUCGGAAGAUCUUUGGUCUGUUGGUCCUCGAAGAAACAGAACUGUGUAUCACUGUCUACUGCUGAAGCUGAGUACAUUGCUGCUGGUUCUUGUUGUGCUCAAUUGCUAUGGAUGAAGCAAACUCUCAAGGACUACGGCGUCAACGUGAAGAAUGUGCCUCUCUUCUGUGACAAUGAGAGUGCCAUCAAGAUUGCUCACAACCCAGUUCAGCACUCAAAGACAAAGCACAUUCAGAUUCGUCAUCAUUUUCUUCGUGAUCAUGUGUUGAAGGGCGACAUUUCUAUUGAGCAUGUGAAGACUGAAGAACAGCUAGCUGAUAUCUUCACAAAGCCCUUGGAUGAAAAGAGAUUUAGCAAGUUGCGGUGUGAGCUAAAUAUCUUAGAAUCUUCGAAUGUUCUCUGAAAAGGACACUCAUCCUAACACUUAUGCAAAAUUGAUGACUUAGAUGUGCAACACAUGAAGACACGUUUUUCUUCAAUCAAUGAAGAAUAACACUCUAAGUGUGAAGAAAUUAACGAAGAAUUUGAUUCUCAGAGACCUACGACAAUUGUACGCGGUGUCUGAAAUCAUCAUUCUUAUACGGUGGGUCACGCCACCACCAAAAGUUGAAAAUCUUCAAUUUGAGUUUUUCCUCAGUUUUGGAAUUCCUCAAUUGUUCAAUUUCUUCAACUUUGUAUUGUCUUCACUGUUUCCGUCGUUUUUCUUCAUUGGCUAUAUAUAUAUAUAUAUAUAUAUAUAUAUAUAUAUAUAUAUAUAUAUAUAUAUAUAUAUGAGUUUAUGUCCUCUACAACAUUCACUUAUUGCUAAUUCUUCAUGUUGCUUUUCCUGCUAAGUGAAUGUGAUCGGGCCCUUCCCCCUCUAUGCUAAACUCAACCCAAUCUAUUCACAAAUUCUUCAUGUGCGUUCUAUUUGAAACUCGCUCAAAAUCUUCACUGUGUCCUUGUCAGCUGAAGAAUUUGCGAACGGAACUUUUAACUUAUCUUAUCUAAAUUUUUGGCUUUGCCGCUCAAACCGUUCCACAUCCCACGAUAAUACUUAUCUAUUCACCCACGAUCGCCACCUGUCAGUACGUGGGUGACACAUGUCAAGCGAAUGAGAAGGGUCAGGGGCACGUUCGUCCAAUUUCUUCGGGCGAAUAGUUUUUCACCGUGGCUAUAAAUACCCCUCCCCUUCCUCACUUCUCUUUUACUCCGCUCGACCUCACUCCAGCUUGAGCUUCUCAAACCCUACCACCGCCGCUACUUCAUCGUCGCCGGUGAAGAAGAGCUUCACUGCCUCGACCUCGUCGCCGUCGUACUCGCGCUGGCUGCGGAUUUCUUCACUCCGCCGCCGCCGUAGUUGUCUUCCUCAACCGAGUUAGGGCGUGGAAGAUCUGAACUGACGAACUUCACAUCUACACUUCCCAGUUCGUCGUGUUGUUCAUCCACGGUAAUUAAAAGUUACUUUUACUGCCCUCUUUGAUUCGAAUGAUUUCUACAAAAUCUUCAAAGGUGUUUUUCUUCAAAUCUUCACUCACUAAACACCUCACAUGUCAUCUGUUCUUGAUCCGUUUCUCUAAGCAAUAUUUUUCUUCAAGAUUCCUCAAUUGUGUGGAUUUCUGAUCUAUACAACUCUGGAACCUAAGACAAAGAACGCUUAGUGAAAUUCUUCAAGACUCAGCUGGUCAAAUUCCUCAAACUUGUUCUUUUUGAAAAACCUUCUGAGAACGCAUAUGACCUCUCCAAGUUACUCGCAACUAUACUCUAUUCACAGGUACACAUGUCCGCUGCUGAAUCACUAGGUUCUCAUCAACUUAACUCAUUUGCAGCGUUCCUCGAAGAAAAGUUGCAUACAUCUUCAGAGAAUUCAAUUGUCCAAAUUCCUCAGCUGAAGAAAAUGGCUGAUGGAAAGAAGCCGCAGAAAGGAGGAAAGAGGCCUGAGGUAAAUAUUGCCUUUGAGAUCCCUGAUGACAUAUACAAGGACUAUUGCACUCCUAAUGAGGCCAAGUUUGGCAAGGAGGACAAAAAUCAGUGCAAGGUGCACAUCCAAAGGAUAGAGAGGAGAUGGGCAUGGGAAUGGAGGGAGUACAGGUAUGUUACUCCCAAGUAUAUGAAGAAAUUCGCUCUAAAUCCUCCAUGCCCAAGACCUCCAUUGGCACCUGGCCAGAUAGCAGAUCCCACCAGCCUCAAGCGCGGUGAGGACUAUCCUGACGAAUGGGCCAAGCGCCAGGCCAAAUUGGCCAGACAAGCAAGAGAAGCAGUGAGGAAAUUCAACGAAGACUCUGCUACUGCUGCUGCCACUGCUGAGGCCUCUGCAAGCAAGCCGAAGAAGGCCAUGACAAAGAAGCCUGCUCAUAAGCCAAGUGCUUCAUCCUCAAUGUUCUCACGGCCAAGUUCCUCAGCAAUGCCCUCACGGCCAGAAUCUUCAAAGCCCUCACAGCCAACUCCUCAUGCUGCUCCCGCUCCUCCAAAGUCCUCAGCUCCUCCGCCAAAGUCCUCAGCUUCUCUGACCAAAUCCUCUGCACCUGUGCAUCUUGCCAUGUGCCAAAGGACAACAAACAUCUCUAUUGCCUCAUGAGCUUCUGCUAGUUCCUCAACUGCACCAAAUUCUUCAACGGGACCCUCUCCGCUGAAGACAAAGGCCACUGCUGGACGUGGCUCUCGCCCAAGUCCUCACAAGAAGCAGGUCGCCUUCCAAGUGCCGUCUGAUGAAGACGAAGCUGAUGAUGAGGAACUUGCCGAAAUCAUUAGAGACAGGCAGCUCAGGGCCGCUAGAGCCAAGGGCACAAAUGUGCCACUGCUUUUGGAUCCUAAAUUGAUCCUUGAUUACAUCGAUCUCUGGCACAAGGACCCCAACACUCCUAUGCCUGAUUUCAAGCCGACUCCUGGCCAAAAUCAUAUGCUGACUGCCUUCAUCCAAGAAGAAAAAUGGAAAUUUGAGAAGGCCAGGCAAAUCAAGAAAGCGCAGUACAAAAAGGAGCGCUUCCUGAAGAAAAAUGUUGUCUCAAUGACAACUGAAGAACUUGUCAACAUUCAAUCUGAGACCAAGAACCUCAGUGAUGAAUUUGACAUAUACAGAGCUGACUGGCUUGGAGCCAAAGUUAGGUUUGUGAAAUUGACUGAAAAGUUCACUUUCAAUGUUGCAGCCCCAACACAACAAGAAAAUCCUCAAGCUAAAGCAUCUGCUCAGCCGACUGAAGAAAAUGCCAGCAUCGCUGAUGACAUUCAGGCUGCUGAAGAAACUCAAAGUACCAGGGCUGAUGACUGCAUUCCAACCGCUGAUGAAAUUGCCAGGGCAUCCACUAGUGGUGCGCCUGAAGAAAAUGAAGAAAUCGGGGCAACUACAUCAGUUGUGCCUGAAGAAAUUCAACCAAUUUCCUCUGCUCCUCCUACGCCUACACCAACUCCAAUCUUUCCAUCUGCAUCAGAUGUGAAGAAGACCAAGGCUGCGGAGCGUGCAGCUGUGAAGAAAAGGAAGGCAUCAACUUCAUCAGAUUCUUCAGCUCCGAAGAAGAUGAAGCCAUUAACCAGCUCUUAUGCAAAUCCAAUUGAUGUUGUUCCCGUCUCAUCCAUUCCAUCAAAGGACCUUGUUCCUUUUGAUGAAGAAUAUGUGAUUCCAAGUGAAUCUGAUGAUGACAUUCCUUCUGCUGCUUCGUCAGAGCAGUUGGAUGAAGAAAUUGAAGUGGAUGCAAUCCCUUCAACACCAAUUGUCUCCUCGCCUAUGCCUCAGUUCACUGCUGAAGAGGCCGGCGUUGAAGAAAUGGAAGAAGAAGAUGUGGACAUUGGGUGUACAACACCAAUACUGAAUGAUGACUUUUGGGAAAGUCAGCACCCCAACUCUCCACUGUUCAAACCGUUGCAACAAAUUCCUCAGUCCCCAGUAACUACAAUUCAAAUGGGAUCUGAUGAACCACAUGCCACACCGUCUGUCCAUGAAGAGAUUCCAGCCACUAGUGCUGAAGAAAAUGUAAAUGAAGAAUUGAAGACCCAGGCUGCCACUAAAGAAGCUGAAAUUCCUCAGCCUGUGGAUCCUGAGAUUGCGAUUCCUGAGGUGGUGAUGCAACUGACUGAUACUCCUCAGCCCAAGCCAAAGGAUCAAUUCUCGAAAAAACAAAAAUUCAAGGCUGAUGACUUCUUCGACGAGCACGUGUUCUUCACUGAUUAUAAUCCCUAUGACUCUGCUCGUCUUAGAAGUAAGCGUUUCUGGACUGCUAGCCAGGCCAAUUUCUAUUCUUCACUGCUCUUCAACAAGGAUAAAGUCUUCGACCACGAGCAUAUUCCUCACGUUGACAUGGAAUCUAUGCCUUGUUUUACUCCAGUCCUCAGUGUGCUUCAUGACGCAGGCCUCCUCAACUUUUGCACGGAUAUUUGCGAUUGGAAUGAAGAACUCAUUCUUCAAUUCUAUGCAACCUUGCACAUCACACGCGAUGCGGAUGAUAUCAACUCUUGGGUGUUGGACUGGAUGACUGAAAACACUCACUAUAAGGCACCGGCCUCUGAAUUACUUCAUGCCCUGCCCAUCAGUCCACCCAUUGAAGGAGCUCGCUGCCUGUACUAGGAUCCAGAACUCACUGCUCACUAUAUGCAAGUGCUAAUGAAGCCUCUGAAGCCCGGUCAAGCCCCAAGGACCAAAUUCCUCGUGAAGGAAUUGCUCUAUGUGCCCAGAACUGUCUAUCGCAUUCUGACGAAGACUAUGAGUCCUAUCAAGGGCCACGACUCGUCUGAUGAAGAAGUCGUUGGUAUCAUGAAGAAUCUUCUAUUCAACAUCAUUCAUGGCAUUCCUGUCAACUAUCACGAUUUCUUCAUGAGGACUCUGGCAAAUGUUGCACUCUCUCCGUUUGAGUUGAAGCCUUACGCACCAUGGAUUAUGCGAUUCAUCAGAACAAGGUCUUCACUCAACUACAAGGCUGACACUCUCAACCAUUGCAGCUACUUACCCCCCAUUGAAGUCCUCAAAAGGACAUUUUCCUCAGCUGAUGAAAAGGGCAAGGCCGCUGCUGUUAUAGAUGAAGGCAUUCGUCCAUUGGAUGGUCAGUUUUGCAAAGCUGCAUCUUAUUCCACCAAUGAUGACUCUGCCACUCAUGAUUCUGCUGCUAAUGCUUCCAAGCCAAAUCCUCAAGCUACUGCUCCUCGAGUGAUGACUGACCGUGAGCUGCUUCUUAGUCUUCACCAGAAGGUGGAUGAAACCAUAAAUGGGUCAAGCGCCAGUUUGGUUCUAUUCUUCACAACAUGACUGCUACACAUAAUGCAAUGAAGAAAAACCAUUACUACCUCCAUGAAGUCUUCGGUCGCACAUGGGCUAUUCUGUCACACGUAUAUGGUGAAGAAGAUUUGAAGCAAAUGGGUCUCAAGGAGGACUUUGACUGGUCUGCACUUCCACCGAAGAAAUACAAGAAGGUCAAGGUUCCUUCCUUGGUGGCCAGCUCAUAUUCUUCAUCACGUGACACCGACGAGCAUGAAGACUUGGACGACACUGCGGCAGGCCCUACUACGACAAACGACCCCAACAACGCUGGCGCUCCUCCAUCAACUUGAUAUUCUUCAGGGGCGUUAGUCCUCAUUUUCGAUCCUUUUGGUCAUUCGAUGACAAAGGGGGAGAAAUUUGAGUUAGUCUUCAAGCGGGUCUACCUAUAUGGGCGUUUUUUUGCUAAGUUACAACUCUCGUUCUUCUGAUGACUUUGCUGGAUCGAGUUGUAAACUUAAACUCUAUGGUGGUCUGAUACUUUUGUUGUGUUUUCUGCAUGCUUAUUCCUCAUAUAUGGUAAUGCACGCAUGCUGAAUUACAUCAGUCACCAUAUUUCAUCAUGCAUUUCAAAUUCCUCAUAUUAUAUAUCAAAUGCGUGUAUGAAUUACAAGAUAUAGGGGGAGAUCUCCAUGAUUCUACUCUUCAAGUGUGCAUUGCUUCAAAAGCAAAUUCCUCACUAUGCACAUCUUCAGGGGGAGUUCUUCUAUAUCUUGUAAUGAAAUUCCUCAAUAUCAGUAUUUACACUUCAUAUGAUUAUCCCCGUUGAAAACUUAACCUAUAUUGUCAUCAAUCACCAAAAAGGGGAGAUUGUAAGUGCAUCUAGUGCCGCUUAGUGAUUUUGGUGUAUUGAAGACUUAUAGGUUAAGGGACUAAUGUGUUUAUGAGUGUACACAGGUCUACAAGUCUAUGAGGAGUUUGAUAUUUACAGAGAAAGUCGACCUCUAAAAAUGAAGUUCUUCGACUUAAGACUUUGGAUUUCUGAAGACUUUCUGAAGACUUUGAAAGUGAAGAAAUUGGUGUGACCUUGAAGACUUGGUAUUCAUUCAAGGAACAUGAAGCGUGAAGACUUUUGUUUUCGUAGUUUCAUUCUCUCUUUCUUGAGUCAUAGGAAACACCGUCCUGUUAAAGGGGGUCGAGGAAAUACUAAGGAAAAAUUUCCAUGUGAUGCUCAACUCAAAAUCCUACACCUACCAAUCCGUUUGAGUGAAGCCAUUGGAAAUCUCAUACAGUUCAGUCAUAUUCUUCAGUGACAGAGACGAAGUUCUUCUGGUCUCUGAGGAAUUUGUUCUGACUGAGGAGUUAGGAAUUCGCCAGUGCAGAUUGCCUACACACUGAGGAACAUGAUAGCCCUGAGGAAGUCGAGCCUCAAAUAUCCGACCGUUGUUGUGCUAUGCGCCAGCUGUCCCAACAUAUCUACCCACCUAACGGUCAUAUUAGUGAAGGGCAUUUAUGUCUUAUCAUGUCGGGCUGGUCCCUAGGCUAUAAAUAGCCGCCCCCUACAACCACUAGCUGGUUGGCUGCUCCGAGAGAAACUGACACUUGUCAUUUGAGAGCAUCCCAUCCUCCGAGGACUUUGAGCGAAAAUCAUCAAGUGAGGAAAACCCAAACCCAAACAUCUAUAAACCCAAAGUGAUUGAGCAUCACUGAAGAGAUUGAUCCUGCGUGGAUCCGACGCUUGUUACCUUUGAAGACUGUGCUUCUUCCAGACGGUUAGGCGUCAUGGUCUAGAACAUCCAAGAGGAAUUGUGGAUUGCCGAGUGACCGAGUUUGUGAAGGUUUGGAAGUCACCUGAAGACUUACCACGAGUGAUUGGGCGAGGUCUGUGUGACCUUAGCUCAAGGAGAAUACGGUGAGGACUGUGUGUCCUCAGGUUUAAAUACCUAGCCGCUCCAACCAGACGUACAACUGAGACAACAGUUGGAACUGGUCUACCAAAUCAUUGUCUUCACCAAGCUUACUGGUUCUAUUUUCUCAACUCUUUCAUUUCCUCACAACUGUGUUGUGCACUUGUUCAUAUCUGUGUUUGAAUACUUUGACUGAAGACUUUCUCAAUUUCAUCAGUUCAAUUUCUUCAGUCGGUUUGUCUUCAUCCUGUGCUAUCCUGUGUUUUACGCUUUCUGUACUUUGUGCUUGUCUUCAUUUCAUCAUGAUGACCAUGCUUUUAUUCUGCUAUGUUUACUUUUGAGUACUUAUUCCGCUGCAAGUAGUUCUUCGCUAAGGAAUUUCCUCACCCGCAAAUUCCUCAGUGAAGAAUUCAAAAAAAAUCGCCUAUUCACCCCCCUCUAGUCAAUAUAACGCACUUUCAUGUGCCUAGAUCUUUCCUCACCACAUGAUGCUUGCCAAAUGAGAAAAAUAAAAGGGAAUAGAAGAAAAAACUUUGACUCUUUUCAUAAAAGUAAAUACAUAAAAUAAAAGAUAGGCCUUUCAUAGAGGGGAGCAGAGGUUGCGAUGCGGUUAUUUGUUUGUAUGCUCAAUCCCUUAGUGCAAAAGGACGUCAUGUUGUAUUGCCCCUUAAGAUGACAACCUUUAUUAUGUAGUCUGUCGCUUUUAUUCUUUGUCAUCCAAGUUCGUACAACGCUCAAUUUUCUCUUACAAUAAAUGAUCUCACACUUUUAGAAGCAAUUUUUAUUGCCUUUUUGCACCGAUGACAACUUACUUGAGGGAUCUUGCUAAAUCCCUAGGUAGGUAUGGUGGGCACUUGAAAAUAAGAUUUGGAUUUAAGGGGUUUUGGAUGCACAAGUAGUAUCUCAACUUAGUGCGGAAUAUUUGGCUAGCAAAGAUAGGGGCAAGCACCACAUGUUGAAGGAUCUAUGACAAUAUGACUUUUGUGUGAAUAUAAACAAACAUAAACCAUUAAGUUGUCUUCCUUGUCCAACGUCAACAAUUUUGGCAUAUAAUAUUUUGAUGAGGUCUGACAAUCACAAAAGAUUUCUAGGAUAGUAUAUUUAUAUGUGAAUCUUCACUUCCCUUAUUAAUUCUUUCAUGAGUUGCAUCCUUGACUAAUGCUAUGUUUGUCAAUCUCUAAUAAAAUUUCCGACUUAUACUUUUCCUUAUGUGGUGCCAUCACCUACCAUAGGAUUAGUAUACGAUCUUAUUGAUUUAUUUCCUUUCUUUUAUUUAUUUCUUUUCUCUUUUUCUUUCUUUCUUAUUUCUUUUCUUUAAUUGCAACAUGAAAGUACAGAAAGAAAAA